rnacentral:sRNA from 1 species
UAGAAAUAUCACUAUCUGUGGCUUUUGUUGACGGUACUAUUAGAGGUGGGCAUAAAUUCCGAACCAAAAUUGGGUAUCUCAAUAUUUAAGCUUGAAAACCGAUGACAUUUUUUAUUUUUGAUUUAGGCAACGGAUUCAGUUCAAGUUGGUCAUCGAUCACUUUACAUAUUUUGUUUUCAAAAUGUUUUAGAAGUUUUUUCAAUUCUUUUUUUUUUUUUUUUUUCUCGUA